rnacentral:rRNA from 1 species
AGCAGCCGCGGUAAUUCCAGCUCCAAUAGCGUAUAUUAAAGUUGUUGCAGUUAAAAAGCUCGUAGUUGAAUUUCGGGGUUAGUAGGCUGGUCGUGCCACCGGUACGUACUGGUCUCACUGACUCCUCCUUCCUGAUGAACUGUAAUGCCAUUAAUUUGGUGUUGCAGGGAAACUGGACUGUUACUUUGAAAAAUUGAGUGUUUAAAGCAAGCUAACGCUUGAAUACAUUAGCAUGGAAUAAUGAAAUAGGACGUUCGAUCCUAUUUUGUUGGUUCUAGGAUUGACGUAAUGAUUAAUAGGGAUAGUUGGGGCAUUAGUAUUCAAUUGUCAGAGGUGAAAUUCUUG